CGAAAGCCUGACGGAGCAAGACCGCGUGAGGGAGGAAGGCUCUUGGGUUGUAAACCUCUUUUCUCAGGGAAGAAGCUCUGACGGUACCUGAGGAAUCAGCCUCGGCUAACUCCGUGCCAGCAGCCGCGGUAAGACGGAGGAUGCAAGCGUUAUCCGGAAUUAUUGGGCGUAAAGCGUCCGCAGGCGGCUAAUUAAGUCUGCUGUCAAAGCCCACAGCUCAACUGUGGAUCGGCGGUGGAAACUGGUUAGCUUGAGUGCGGUAGGGGUAGAGGGAAUUCCCAGUGUAGCGGUGAAAUGCGUAGAGAUUGGGAAGAACACCGGUGGCGAAAGCGCUCUACUGGACGGCAACUGACACUCAGGGACGAAAGCUAGGGGAGCG
rnacentral:rRNA from 1 species